rnacentral:rRNA from 1 species
GACGAACGCUGGCGGCGUGCUUAACACAUGCAAGUCGAACGGAAAGGCCCUGCUUUUGUGGGGUGCUCGAGUGGCGAACGGGUGAGUAACACGUGAGUAACCUGCCCUUGACUUUGGGAUAACUUCAGGAAACUGGGGCUAAUACCGCAUAGGAGCUCCUGCUGCAUGGUGGGGGUUGGAAAGUUUCGGCGGUUGGGGAUGGACUCGCGGCUUAUCAGCUUGUUGGUGGGGUAGUGGCUUACCAAGGCUUUGACGGGUAGCCGGCCUGAGAGGGUGACCGGCCACAUUGGGACUGGGAUACGGCCCAGACGCCUACGGGAGGCAGCAGUGGGGAAUAUUGCACAAUGGGCGGAAGCCGGAUGCAGCAACGCCGCGUGCGGGAUGACGGCCUUCGGGUUGUAAACCGCUUUCGCCUGUGACGAAGCGUGAGUGACGGUAAUGGGUAAAGAAGCACCGGCUAACUACGU